UGGGGAAUUUUGGACAAUGGGCGAAAGCCUGAUCCAGCAAUGCCGCGUGUGUGAAGAAGGCCUUCGGGUUGUAAAGCACUUUUGUCCGGAAAGAAAUCCUUGGCUCUAAUACAGUCGGGGGAUGACGGUACCGGAAGAAUAAGCACCGGCUAACUACGUGCCAGCAGCCGCGGUAAUACGUAGGGUGCAAGCGUUAAUCGGAAUUACUGGGCGUAAAGCGUGCGCAGGCGGUUUGCUAAGACCGAUGUGAAAUCCCCGGGCUCAACCUGGGAACUGCAUUGGUGACUGGCAGGCUAGAGUAUGGCAGAGGGGGGUAGAAUUCCACGUGUAGCAGUGAAAUGCGUAGAGAUGUGGAGGAAUACCGAUGGCGAAGGCAGCCCCCUGGGCCAAAUACUGACGCUCAUGCACGAAAAGCGUGGGGAGCAAACAGGAUUAGAUACCCUGGUAGUCCACGCCCUAAAAACGAUGUCAACUAGUUGUUGGGGAUUCAUUUCCUUAGUGCGUAGCUAAACGCGUGAAAGUUACCGCCCUGGGGGAAGUUACGGUCGCAAAGAUUAAAAACUCAAAAUG
rnacentral:rRNA from 1 species